GUCUUUUUGUUAAUAAUUUAAAGUCUGGCCUGCUCUAUGAAGUUUAAAUGGCCGCAGUAUUCUAACUGUGCUAAGGUAGCAUAAUCAUUAGUUUUUUAAUUGAGAACUUGUAUGAAUGGUUAAAUGAAAAAAUAACUGUCUCUAUUUAAUUUUAAAAGAAUUUUAUUUUUAAGUAAAAAAGCUUAAAUUUAAUUUAAAGACGAGAAGACCCUAUAGAACUUAAUAUAUAUAAUUUAGGAUUUUUUAGUAUUUAAAUUUUUUAAUGGUUUAUAUAUUUAAUUGGGGUGAUUAAAAAAUUAAUUUAACUUUUUUAUUUAAAUACAUUGAUUUAUGAAAUUUUGAUCCAUUGUUUAUGAUUAUAAGAAAAAGUUACCUUAGGGAUAACAGCGUAAUUUUUUUAAAGAGUUCUAAUCGAAAAAAAAGUUUGCGACCUCGAUGUUGGAUUAAAAUUUAUUUUUGGAGCAAAAGCUAAAAUAUUAAGUCUGUUCGACUUUUGAAAUUUUACA
rnacentral:rRNA from 1 species